AGUGGAUGGGGAGCAACCUAGUUGUGCGUGUGUAAAGGUAGUGCCAAGAAAAGCGAUGAUCAUGUUGAAAAUCAAUUCCCGGUACCCGAAACCGACACAGGUGGGCAAGUAGAGAAUACUAAGGGGCGCGAGGUAACUCUCUCCAAGGAACACUCAAAAUGACCCCGUAACUUAGGGAGAAGGGGUGCCACCGAGAGGUGGUCGCAGUGAAGAGGCCCAGGCGACUGUUUAGCAAAAACAUAGGUCUCUGCAAACUCGAAAGAGGAGGUAUAGGGGCUGACGCCUGCCCAGUGCCGGAAGGUUAAAGAAGUUGGUCAGUUUUAGGAUGAAGCUAGCGACUGAAGCCCCGGUGAACGGCGGCCGUAACUAUAACGGUCCUAAGGUAGCGAAAUUCCUUGUCGGGUAAGUUCCGACCCGCACGAAAGGCGUAACGAUCUGGGCGCUGUCUCGGAGAGAGGCUCGGCGAAAUAGGAUUGUCUGUGAAGAUACGGACUACCUGCAUUUGGACAGAAAGACCCUAUGAAGCUUUACUAUAGCUUGGAAUUGUGUUCGGGCUUCCUGUGCGCAGGAUAGGUGGGAGGCGUAGAAGGUAUUCUUGUGGGGAUACUGGAGCCAACGGUGAGAUACCACUCUCAGGAGGCUAGAAUUCUAACUUAAUUAAGGACAGUUUCAGGUGGGUAGUUUGACUGGGGCGGUCGCCUCCAAAAAGUAACGGAGGCGUACAAAGGUUCCCUCAGACUGGUUGGAAAUCAGUCGAAGAGUGCAAAGGCAGAAGGGAGCUUGACUGCGAGAAGUACAGUUCGAGCAGGGUGGAAACACGGUCUUAGUGAUCCGACGGUGCUGUGUGGAAGGGCCGUCGCUCAACGGAUAAAAGUUACUCUAAGGAUAACAGGCUGAUCUCCCCCAAGAGUUCACAUCGACGGGGAGGUUUGGCACCUCGAUGUCGGCUCAUCGCAACCUGGGGCGGAAGUACGUCCCAAGGGUUGGGCUGUUCGCCCAUUAAAGCGGUACGUGAGCUGGGUUCAGAACGUCGUGAGACAGUUCGGUCCAUAUCCGAUGUAGGCGUGAGAAUAUUGAGAGGAGCCUUCCUUAGUACGAGAGGACCGGGAAGGACGCACCGCUGGUGUACCUGUUAUGAUGCCAAUUGUAAACGCAGGGUAGCCAAGUGCGGAGAGGAUAACCGCUGAAAGCAUCUAAGUGGGAAGCCCACCUCAAGAUGAGUAUUCUGGUGUAAGGUCACGGGAAGACGACCCGUAAAUAGGCACGAGGUGGAAGUGCAGAGAUGUAUGAAGCCGAAGUGUACUAAUAGACCGUCGGCUU
rnacentral:rRNA from 1 species